GGUCCCAUCGUCUAGCCUGGUCUAGGACACUUGGUUUUCAUCCAAGAAACUCGGGUUCAAAUCCCGAUGGGACCG
rnacentral:tRNA from 1 species